GAUCCUGGCUCAGAAUCAACGCUGGCGGCGUGCCUCAGACAUGCAAGUCGAACGCGAAAGCCCCCUUCGGGGGGCAAGUAGAGUGGCGCACGGGUGAGUAACACGUAGGUAAUCUACCUUUGGAUUGGGAAUAACCACCGGAAACGGUGGCUAAUACCGAAUAAUGCAGCGGCACCUAAUGGUGACAGUUGUUAAAGCGGGGGAUCGAAAGACCUCGCGUCUGAAGAGGAGCCUGCGGCAGAUUAGCUAGUUGGUAAGGUAACGGCUUACCAAGGCGAUGAUCUGUAGCCGGCCUGAGAGGGCGGUCGGCCACACUGACACUGACAUACGGGUCAGACUCCUACGGGAGGCAGCAGUCGGGAAUUUUGGGCAAUGGGCGAAAGCCUGACCCAGCAACGCCGCGUGAAGGAUGAAAUCCCUCGGGAUGUAAACUUCGCAAGAACAGGAAGAAUAAGUAAGAGUUAAUAUCUCUUAUGAUGACGGUACUGUUUGUAAGCUCCGGCUAACUCCGUGCCAGCAGCCGCGGUAAUACGGGGGGAGCAAGCGUUGUUCGGAUUUACUGGGCGUAAAGGGCGCGUAGGCGGCCACCGCAAGUCGACUGUGAAAUCUCCGGGCUUAACCCGGAAAGGUCAGCCGAUACUGCGGGGCUAGAGUGCAGAAGGGGCAACUGGAAUUCUCGGUGUAGCGGUG
rnacentral:rRNA from 1 species